AGAACAAGUGUGUACCACCACCUCCACCGAUGGGGACAUAUGGAUAUCAGGGGAACACUGGCAGUGUCCCCAAAGGAGUGAAUCCUUACUCUAUGAAAGCAGCAGUUCUAUGGGGCAGCAGAUACCCUACAAUGCAUUACAAUGAUGGGACCAACUCAAAGCCUCCAAGCCAUGGGCCUAGACUGCUUCCUAGACAGCGCUCUGGCUUGCUCCCUCCUUCACACUUUGACCUCAUGGCACCAAUGGUUGUGCCACCUGACACUCUACCCUACUGAGGCCAUUUGCCCAGAGUGGAUUUGCCAUACAUAGAUUUUUUCAG